GAUUUUCUCCCUGCUUGUGAGAUGAAACCAGGGAGUGUUCUACCCUUCACAAGCAAACUGCAGCUUAAAUUACAGUCUGACCUUUGGCUUGCUGGUGGGGCAACAUUUCCCUGACAUGGCCUUGUCAAACUGUCCUUUCUCUUUGCAAACCUCAAGAUAGGACGUAAUGUGCCAAGCAAGUUCUUCCAAAAAUCUUGCAGAGAACAAGCUGGCAACUUUUCCAGUAAUUUGUGGUUGUGAAAGAUGAAUAGUAGACAUUUCAGGAAAGGGAAGUGUCCUGGGGCAAUGCGUUAUAUAGAUAUUCACUUCUGGACUGGAAAUCUCAUUCUUGAGAUUUCACUGACCAGCAACACUCCAGUGAAACUGCAGUCAAAAUUUAUGGAGUCUGCAGUAAAUAUGAAGCUAAAGUAACAGCACUCUCCAGGAAAAGCUGCCUGCUAGAUAACAUGAAGACACGCCAGCAGCCUCAUGGGGGUGGAGGGAAGAGAGGCCUCAUGGUGAGGGACUGAGGCCUCCUACUAAAAGCCAGCACUAACUUGUCAGGCAUGAAAGUGAGCCACCUGGAAGCACAUCUUCAGCCCCUGUGGACCCUUUAGAUGACUGCAGGCCCUGCUGACAUCUUGACUGAAACCUCAUGAGACAGCUAGAACCAGAAUCGCCCAGAGAGAAGAACAUCAAAGGUGCGGGUUUAGGGCCCAGAAAGCCACUGGCCCCUUAAUAUCCAGAAAAGGACAAAAACUCACGGGAGUCAAGCACUGUUUGCCUGGAAGAAGAAAGAUAAAGACACAGACAAGCCCUGCUCCCCCACCAGCCAAAACUACUAUUCUACCUGUUUCCUGAUUCUGACCCACACUUCAAGGUACUUAUGAAGAGGGACUAUGUCUGAGUUUAUGCAUUAUUAUGUUCCUAACACCUGGGAGAAGGUCUGGUACCCAGUUGACUCUUG
rnacentral:lncRNA from 10 species